CAGCCCUCCCCCGCCCCAAUUCACUCUCACUAUCUGCCGCAACCCGUGGCAUAGCUCCUUAUCGUUGCAUACUGCACGGUAGACUUGCAAAAGUCGCUUAUAGAACUGACUGUAUACCCACAACCCUGAGGCUCACCUGUUGACAGACGGCACAGGUGGGACAAGCAAAAAGAGGAACACCGGUGAAAGUACUGGAAGGAUACGGUACAUAUGAUUAACUCGCUCCUACUGAAUUACCCCGAGCUGCAUGUCAGUGGUCGAGCCAGUCUAUGUUCAGUGAGAUCAGAACAAGUUGCAAUGACACUUACAUCCUGGAUGCCCUGCUGAGUCGUCUGCUACGGUCUAUUUUGAGGACUGCAGCAGAAGCGAGAUCGUCUUCCGCCGGGGCUUGCUUUCUAACCUGUGUAAUUGUCUGUGUGGUGUUGUAAUGGUGCACGCCUCAGGACGACAGGGGGGGGGGACCGCUGCAGGAACAAGUGGCUGAACACAUGCAUAGGGGCAGCAAUGUAUUCACCACCUGAACAUACAAGUCGCUACUGACGCUCAGCGUUCUAUCUCCUAUAUUCUCCUCGUAUCUGCAGCGCCAUCGUACACAAUUACGCAGCGUCAAUAUUUAGAUAGGUAGAGAGCGUUGUGCAUCAACUCUCCCUGCAGUGAAUGUAGAUAGGUAGAGAAGGUUGUGCAGCAGCUCUACCUGCAGUGAAGGUAGACAGACACAGAGUGUUGUGCAUCAACUCUAUCUGCAGUGAAGGUAGAUAGGUAGAUAAUGUUGUACAGCACUUCAAUCUGCAGUGAAGGUAGAUAUGUAGAGAAUGUUGUGCAUCAACUCUGUCUGCAGUGAAAGUAGCUAGGUAGAGAAUGUUGUACAGCACUUUAAUCUGCAGGGAAGGUAGAUAUAUUUCAAGUGUUGGCAUUUUGCUGGACUGCUGCAAUUCCUGUUCAUUGUUAUGUUAACGACCUAAUAACUGUGCGUUAUAAAUGCGACAUGCGUUGCAGAUUUGAUUUC